CCGGUAGCUCAGCUGGUAGAGCAACGGACUGAAAAUCCGUGUGUCGGCGGUUCAACCCCGCCUUG
rnacentral:tRNA from 3 species